UACGUAGGGGGCAAGCGUUGUCCGGAAUCACUGGGCGUAAAGGGCGCGUAGGUGGCCCGUUAAGUGGCUGGUGAAAUCCCGGGGCUCAACUCCGGGGCUGCCGGUCAGACUGGCGAGCUAGAGCACGGUAGGGGCAGAUGGAAUUCCCGGUGUAGCGGUGGAAUGCGUAGAUAUCGGGAAGAAUACCAGUGGCGAAGGCGUUCUGCUGGGCCGUUGCUGACACUGAGGCGCGACAGCGUGGGGAGCAAACAGG
rnacentral:rRNA from 1 species